rnacentral:rRNA from 1 species
ACGCUGGCGGCAUGCUUUACACAUGCAAGUCGGACGGCAGCACAGAGAAGCUUGCUUCUUGGGUGGCGAGUGGCGAACGGGUGAGUAACAUAUCGGAACGUACCGAGUAGUGGGGGAUAACUGAUCGAAAGAUCAGCUAAUACCGCAUACGUCUUGAGAGGGAAAGCAGGGGACCUUCGGGCCUUGCGCUAUUCGAGCGGCCGAUAUCUGAUUAGCUAGUUGGUGGGGUAAAGGCCUACCAAGGCGACGAUCAGUAGCGGGUCUGAGAGGAUGAUCCGCCACACUGGGACUGAGACACGGCCCAGACUCCUACGGGAGGCAGCAGUGGGGAAUUUUGGACAAUGGGCGCAAGCCUGAUCCAGCCAUGCCGCGUGUCUGAAGAAGGCCUUCGGGUUGUAAAGGACUUUUGUCAGGGAAGAAAAGGCUGUUGCUAAUAUCAGCGGCUGAUGACGGUACCUGAAGAAUAAGCACCGGCUAACUACGUGCCAGCAGCCGCGGUAAUACGUAGGGUGCGAGCGUUAAUCGGAAUUACUGGGCGUAAAGCGAGCGCAGACGGUUACUUAAGCAGGAUGUGAAAUCCCCGGGCUCAACCUGGGAACUGCGUUCUGAACUGGGUGACUAGAGUGUGUCAGAGGGAGGUAGAAUUCCACGUGUAGCAGUGAAAUGCGUAGAGAUGUGGAGGAAUACCGAUGGCGAAGGCAGCCUCCUGGGAUAACACUGACGUUCAUGCUCGAAAGCGUGGGUAGCAAACAGGAUUAGAUACCCUGGUAGUCCACGCCCUAAACGAUGUCAAUUAGCUGUUGGGCAACUUGGUUGUUCAGUAGCGUAGCUAACGCGUGAAAUUGACCGCCUGGGGAGUACGGUCGCAAGAUUAAAACUCAAAGGAAUUGACGGGGACCCGCACAAGCG